rnacentral:lncRNA from 1 species
CUAACCAAAUGCAAUCAAAGAGGUACGAUAUACGAAAGACAAGCAAACAAUGACAUGUAGAGACUAAAAUACGGGAAUAGAAAAACAGGAGAAGGAGGUGAAACGCUCUCACCGACUACCAGCUCGAAGCACCCACCUGUCACUGUCGCGUCAGAACACUGGGUACGCACAACUCUACCGGACCUAAGAAGAUCCACCAAGUCANUAUACUUUCGAAUGCCACUCGAUCUAUGCUCUUGUGUUACUUUGUUCUUUUAUCUCAUUAGAUUCUCACAUUACCUCUCAUGCAUAUAUAGGGUGUUAUAGGUUCUCAACCAACUAGAAAUGCACGUGUACUCACAUCAUGCAACAUUUACAUAAUUAUCAUCACAUUUUACCCUACAAUGCAUGCAACAACAUAUACAUAAAUGCUCAAUUAAAUGACACAUUAGGCAUAGAGGGAAUUCCAACAAGUUUGAAUAGCACCACCCACCUCGUAGGCGUACUAGGAUGCUACAAUGAUUUUCUUGGAAUUUCUAGACUCCUAGUUCGUCACCUACGGCAAAACGAAGCCCUAUUAGGCCAUUUUGCUCAUAUCUUUACAUUGGCUCUUCGUAACGUCAAUGCAAGCACACCAACGCGUCGAAAAUACCCCCAAUUAGGUUUCUAGAGGGUCAAUUUCAUUUCAGAACCCUCAUAAGCAAAAGCUCCAAUUUGGGUGCCCUAGCUCAUAACAUGUAUCAAACCUAGGGUUUGAUCUCAUAGAGAAGCAAAAGUAAGCUUCAAAUCAUGUAAAGGUUCCAUUUGAACCAUCCUUAGCUCAAUCAAAACCCAUUUUAGGGUUUGACCAUGAGAGGGGUUGAAGCUUACCUUCAAGCUUCACCACCUCCACCCAAUCUAUGAUUUUGAUCUCUAAAAGAAGCAAAAGAUAACUCCAAAUACCCAAUAGGUUCCAUUAAAACCAUUUCUAGGUCACUUAGUUCUCAUUCUAGGGUUUUACCAUGAUUAGGGUUCAAGCUUACCUCUAAGCUUGCUCCUUUGUUGCUCCAAAGAAGAAGAAGAGGAGAAAGCUUCACUUCUUGGCUUCUUCUUCUCCACCUUCUUCUUCUUCUUUCCCUUCUUUCCCUUGUCUUCUUCGUCUCCUUCUUGUCUUCUAGAGAGAGAAAGAGAGAAGAGAGGGAGUGUGAGGAAGAGGGAAUGAGAAAUAAGCCCUCAUGACCCCACAUGCAUAGCCCAUAUAUUGCAUAAAUGCAAAUAAACCCCUCAGCUUUUAUCUUAUUACACUGCUCAAACUGGGUAGAUUUCGUGUUCGGGGAUCGGUCUCCCCGACUUGGGACCGGUCCCAGAGAGCUCUCCCGCAGCUCAGCGGGGGCUUUCGCACGAGGCAACCGGUCUCUCCCAGGGAGACCGGUCUCUCGGUGACCGGUCUCUCCCCGCAGGGACCGGUUCCUGAGAGCUAGUUUUCUGGGACUUAGCCGAUUUUCAACCUUUCUCAGUUUUCACGCGUUCGGGGACCGGUCUCUCCCACUAGGGACCAGUCCCCGAGAGCACAAAACCUGCAGAAUGCAGAUUUUUGAUUCUUUAGCUCUCGAAAACCUCCCACAAUGCACUUUUGAUCCUUUUAACACCUUCGGACUUUUCGAAGUGUACCAUCCUCGCACUUUGGUCAACUUGACUAAAGUUCGAUAUUUAUUUUCGGAAUUCUCGGUAUAUUACACACAAGAUAACACCACUACACAAUUAUCGCCGAAUAAUUGUAUGAAUCCCGGUUCCCGAAAGUGUCUAUUUCGACAGCGGAACCCACCGUCGCUCACCCUUCAUCACCGAACUCACAAAAUGAUGAUGGUGACGUGCCAACAAGGCUCAGCGAUAAUUUACAGGAUAACCAAACCACGUCGGAAGGAAUCCGAACCGAAACCGCGUUCUUUCGGCGAAUUUCGCCGAAAAACGCGCCGGAAUCGACUUUUCGAUUUCCGCAAAAGCUAUCAGAUCAUGGACAAUCAGUUCGAAGGUCACCAUACACACCAACGCACAGCCCACAGUAGCCACAAGGUGUACAAAUGCAUAAAAGUCCCUAUGUUUACAUAAAAUCCAUCAUUUUAUGUAAAUCGGGCGACUUCUAUGACUCGUUCUCACAAACCGAGGACUUCUAAAUUUUGCCGAGACACGUACUGACAGGUCUCGACGUGCCGGAGGCCGUGCUCACGGUCUGGAGCGCAACAGCUCACUGUGAGAAGCGCGGGAGCAACCCGAAAAUUCUGCGAACAGCGCGCAGUCGGCGAAACGCACCAAACAGAACGAUACGACAUCCGCUGAUCCAAAAUAAGGUGAGCACUGUGAUCAGCACUGAUCCACGAUCACCGUGCUCACCUCCAGAGGCAUCGAAACUGUUAGUUAUAUACCCUAUAAGCCAAUCUUGUCAUAACUUAAAGGGUUAAUAUCAGUGUACUUUUCUUUUAUGAUUAAAUCUGGCAUUCUUCAUUCAUAUUAUUGCCGAAUGCAUAUUUAUGAAUCGUCCAUAGAAUUAAUAGUAGAAGAAUUAAAUUUCUAAGAAGUUAGAAAUUUGAGACUUUUAUUCUUCUGUAAUUAAUUCUUAAAUGCUCCUGAUCAUAGGAUUAUAACGAGGGCAGUGGUAAAUCCAGAUAGAUCAGUGUAUGCUGUACUUCCUUUAUGGAAUGACGAGUCUCAAAUCAUUAGUGUGGUGACACUAGAGUAAGCAUACAGGUGAAUGUUGGAGAACAAUUUCACUGAGCGUGACCAACUAUGAACAAUCACAUGGAUGUCUACUCACUCGUCAAUGAAUUGUUCCAUACUGUAGUAGUGUGAGUGAUCCUUUGACCUGAGGCACCACGGUUAUCUUGCGUGUGGGUUAUUGUAGUUUGACUGUGUAAAUACUUAUACCCUAAUCAUGGGUUAAGUCAACACAUGUUGGCUGCAGUGGGUCAUACGUGGAGGUAGGUGUGUGUCAAGAUGGAAUCUAUCACCCUCGGUAGAGAGGUAAUUGUCCUAUACUAUCUAUUUUACAAGAUAUAAAAGUCCUUGGCCAAGGCAAUAUGAUUUUAUGGAAAAGAGUUUCCAUAUUGUUAAUCAGAUGAGACAUAUGAUUGAGUAAUGGGGUUUGACGAGUAAUCCAUAACCUCGGCUCAAUCGGGACAAGUGAUAGAAGGAUUUUAUCACACGGUAACUACACCUAGAGGUUCCGUCUAUUAUUAAUUCUACUUGGAUUGCCACGAUAUACUGCUAGGUGUCACUCGUGGAUUGUGGGACCCAUGAGAGUAAUUAAGAUAGUUAAUUACACUCAGUUGGGAGAGCCAAAAAUGUUUUGGUCCAUCGAGAAGAGUUCCGAUGGUGACAUUAAAAGAGUUUACUGUCACAUCUCACUACUAGGUAGAAUUGAACCUAUGUGGUCACACACAAUAAAGGCUGCGUGUGAUCUGGUGCUUGGAGAAUUAAUAGAGACUAUUUUGCUAAAGUAGUAAAGCAAGAAUUUAUUUGCUAAGGUGGUUAGCAGAAACUCUAAUUUGAAAGGAUAAAAUUUGUACGGAGUGACCUAAUACUAAAUUUGAUUUAGUAUAAGAACUUAUUGCAAAAGUUGCAACAAACGAGAGAGAAAACUUAUGACUCUCUCUUUUUCGGGUUCUUUAAUUAAGAGGAGAGGUAGAGAAAAAGAAAACCAUGCAUCAUACAUUUAUUAAAGAAAGAAAACUUUUCUCCGUAUUAAUUGGCGUAUUAAGUGGAGAAGAGUUUUCGUUUUCUUUUCACUCUCUCUUUCCGCUUCGUCACUAAAUGAGAGGAGUUUACUUUCCUUUCAUUUAUGACGGCGGUUUUCUUUCUUUUCUCUUCGCUCUGUUUCUCGCCAUAAGGAGAGUUUAUUCUCACAUCAUUUAUGGGCCUUAUGCCUAUAGAAGAGAUUGGGAAUAAUCUCUCUCUAUAAUGACAACGCAAAAGCAAAGAGCGAGAGAAAGAGAGAAAAUUCUCCCAAUCAUAUAAAGCUCUCUUUUAAUAAUAAGAGAGUGGUCCUCCAAUAUUAAUUAGUCUCUAUAGUUAAUCCUCUUCAAAUUGCUAGCAUAAUUUUGAGGAUUAAUUUUUCUCCACAUUAACAUAAGAAAUCACGAAAGGAGUUUCGAGAUUACACUGUGAUUGUGUGAAGCACAGAUCUCAGAGCAGCCUUGUGUGGAUACAUGUAGAGGCCGAACACUUGUGCGGCUCAAAGGACCAGAAGUUCAGAUCCAAAUCAACUGUGAAAUAAUUUCGGUAAUUUGCACAGGUUGAAAUUCGAACCCUUAUUCUAAUUAGAUUAGAAUAAUUAUUUUUGUGUGUCACACGAGAUGAUCUUGGUACAUAUAUAUAUAUAUAUAUAUAUACUAAUAUCAUAAAUGUUAUGAUAUUAAAGUAUACAUGAUUGGAUCAUAUUUUAUAAAUUAAAAUUUAUUUCCGCUGCAUUAAAUGCACAUGUAGAUGCAUACAUUUACUUACAGGAACAGCCUCGGAUCGUCGUAAAAAUGUGCAUAAUCCUGAAACAGUAGCCAAAAAGGCUCUAACGGAGCGACACCGCUGAAACAGCGGAAAGGAGUCUCCCCGACAAAAACUAAGGUGAGCACGAUGAUCAGCAAUUUGCCACGAUCACCGUGCUCCCUUCCGUAGAGAUUAGGGAGGCUCGGUAAGCUCAGAACAGCAAACUACUAAGGAAUAGCCCUAUUUCGGGCUUGGCUGGAGCAAGCUUGCUCCGGCCGACUUUCGGCAGCACGGCGUGGUGCGUGCGGGCCAGGAAUGCGGGCCAGGAAUGGGUGCGGGGGAGGUAGGGAGUGUGGUGCUCACCUCAAUUGGCGGCGAGGAGCGGCGGCGGCGACUGCGGAAAAAGACAAGCCCGGACGAGUUGAAGCUCGGGUUCCAGAGCAAUGGCGGCCACGGCGGCGGCCGGGGCACCACGGGGCGACAGCGGGGGGUCGCCUGAGGUUGGCGGGAGGCUGCACGGGUGUAGCUAAACUCUCUGUUGACGAUGUUUUUGUGUGUAAUUUAAUUACAAAAGCACUCGUCAAGUUUCGGGAGAAAACGAGUUAGAACGGAGAUUCUACGCGAUUUCCAAGUUUCACUUAAAGUGAAUAGUAACUUGGUUUUUCGGAUAGCUCAAUGCGUAGAGUUGGCUUCUGGCUCGUACCGAACUCUAUUCAUAGCAGUCCAAUAGCUCGUUUUGACCGGUUUAACUGUUCUGGAACUAAUAGCGGAUUUUGAGUUGACGCACGAAUUUCGAGAAAAUCCGAAAAUACAUGUUUUAUAUGUAUUUGUGCGUAGCACGCCCCGGGGCCGAUUUUAAAAGCCUUUUUAAAAAUUCAUUACCAUUUUGAAAUAGAGUUGCGGAAGACGUGCUAUUUUUAUUUUAUUUUUUUCAACCUGGCCUACGUGAUGUACAGAUCCGCCACAAAUACAAAGUUCCUCUGUCCACUCGGACAGAGUCUCCUUUGUAUUUGCACGGCGUACCAACUAUACAACAGGAUCUCAACCACAACCUACAUUUACCAAUCAACAACCAAUUCAUGAUAUGCAUUUUUAUACAGCUAACGAUCCUUAGAGAUGAUGCAUGUCUCUAAGCACUCCUUAGGAGCUGGAUGAUGCAAUGUACAAUACAACAAACAUCCUAUUUAAAAGUGCUCCUGACCCGGAAGCUUUGUUUUUGAAAUCUAUUUCAGUCAUCCAUGAAAACCAUUCAAAAAUCUUUUUAAAACUGUUUCCCACUCGGAAACUCUAUUUUGAAAACCGACUACCUUGAGGGGUAGAAAACCACAAUGCAUAAGGAUAUAAAUGAAUGAACUGAAUAUCUAUAAAACUAGAUCCACAAAUCCACAAUCUAAAAUCACAUGCAUAAGGAAAACAUCACAGAUCCACUGAAGCCAAAUCACCAACAUUCAAACAAACAUGAGGAUCGUCUAAUUGAACCAUUUAUUAUUAAAACUACUAAGUGCCGAAAUGAAAGUAACCAGGAUGACGGUUGCUAUACCAGACAAGCUAGAUCGUCCUCCCGUCGAGCCCAAAAUCUAACUCCUUGUCCAUGUCACCUGGGGGGAAUGGGGGGUGAGAAACCGCAACCAUGGUUUCUCAGUGGGUACGACAGAGCCACGAAGGCAAGCCGUAAUCUCCGAAAACAAAAGGAGAUAGAUAAACAAAUAUAUAUGCUGAUAUGAAACAGAACUACAGAUAUGAGCAUGAUGUGAUAUAAGAGCAACUACAGUAGUAAUAGAAACAGGAUAAUAACUGAGCAAGAACGAAACUACUACUGUAACCAAAAACUCAACUGAUCGAAUGCCUCAAGGGUAAAUAGUCCAAACCAAACCCAAUCUGAUGCUGCUAUAUUGGUCCGCAGACCUCAAGCGUUCCCUGUCACAGAGCAGACACUGCCCACUUAUUCAUGCGUCACCGACGACCUAUCCGGAUACGUACACCCCUUGGUUGGUGGCCAAACCAACCUGGUGUCUAGAAUACACAGUGCUAUGACUAAAUCAUGCUGAUAUGAUCAAAACGAAAACUGGCAAAAAGAGACCGGUGCCUUGGCCGAAGCCAGGUGCAAGGGCGUGCAACGCCGAACCAUGAUCAACCAGAUCGAAACACACGACAAAAAAGUCGAUGUGUUGCCUGGACCCAAGGUCCACAGAUAUACAGUAUAUAUAUGCAACCUGCUCUACAUGUCUAUCAACAACUAACAAAAUGCAACCAAUAAAGUAAAUAUACGAAUGAUAAUCAAAGCAAAGACAUGUAGAGACUACGAUACUGAUAUGAAAGAAUAGAGGAAAGGUGAAACGAUCUCACCGACUACCAGCUUGAAGCACCCACCUGUCACAGUCGCGUCGGAACACUGGGUACGCACAGCGUCUACCGGACCUAAGAAGAUCCACCAGGUCAGUAUCCAAACCACUAACCCAAAGCACGAGACUCAUAAACCCCC